UACUAAGGGACCGGAGAUUCCACGAUCGUGGGACGUCACUUCUAUCUACAAAUACUAAGAAAUUAUGUCGCAAACCCCCCACUCUCUAAUGCCCGUUUUCACCAACAACCUCUUACCGUUUCCCUAUCUAAAAGCUACUUUUAAUAAGGACCCCUCCCAAUUUGACACCUACCUAAAUUCAUUUUCACCACACUUGUACAUGGAUCCCUUAAGUAAGUGACAGAUUACUAGUUCUACAAACGAUAAUGCAAAGUCGAUAUUUUAUCGAUAAAAUGAUUUUUCUCUACUUCUUAAGAAAUAAACGUCUAUCGAGUAUAUAUUACUAAAGCCUAUAAGUUUAUUUUGGCAGAGAAGAGAAAACGAGGAUAAACCUUUCUUGCAGAAGAAAAAGACAAGCUAGUGAAAUUGCUGACGUCUCAUAGAUACACAAUAUUAAACAAAAAACGGAUGGGACCACGAACGAAUCCAAAAACAAAGCUUGGAUCCAGUUACAAAUAGUUUUAAUGCGAUAGGAACCGUUUACAGGUAAAUGUGAAUAAUAUCUGUGUAUAAUAAUAUAAGAUAUUGCCGUUCAACUGUGUUCCUUGUUUUACUGUCGACUUCAUUGUAUUUUUGUUCUCCAUGAGUUGAUGGAUUUAAGUAUGGGGUUAAAAUUAUACAUUUAUUAUAUUUAUUUAGUUUCAGGUGGUGCGAGAAAUUGGAAAGACGUGUAAAAACAUGCUGCGCCCAGCCCACCUCAAAUUGAAUUGGUGCAGGAGGAUGAUGAUAAUGUUUGGUACAUCAUAUGAGGACUAAUAUUAAAAUAUUUGUUUACUA